rnacentral:misc_RNA from 1 species
AGACUGCCAUGAUCGAUAAACGUAAUUUUCGUAUUUAUUGGAGCUGUUCAUAGAGAGCGAAACAGCUUUCUUUAUUUGCAGUUGACGACGGCUUACCUUUGCAAAAAAAUUAAUUUCUCCUUUUCGUCGUUGUCUAUAUCGUCAUGGCGGAUAACGAGCAGAAAGCUGCACAACUGGUUGCCGAGGCUGAGAAGAAAUUGAAUUCUGGAAAGAGUUUUUUCGGAUCCCUUUUUGGAGGUGGAUCAUCCAAAGUUGAUGAAGCUAUAGAAUGCUACCAAAGAGCAGCAAAUUUGUAUAAAAUGGCCAAAAAGUGGUCUCAAGCUGGUCAAGCUUUUUGUGAAGCAGCUGCUCUUCAUCUUAAAGCUGCUGGACGUCAUGAUGCUGCCACAAAUUAUGUAGAUGCAGGCAACUGCUAUAAAAAAUCUGAACCAAAUGAGGCGGUUGCGUGCCUUCUCAAAGCUAUCGAAAUUUAUACUGACAUGGGAAGAUUUUCCAUUGCUGCUAAGCAUCACCAAACUAUUGCUGAGAUUUAUGAAUCUGAACUGGCUGAUCUUGAUAGAGCUGUGCAACAUUAUGAACAAGCAGCUGAUUAUUUUAAAGGUGAGGAAAGUAACAGUUCUGCUAAUAAAUGCCUUUUGAAAGUGGCUCAGUAUGCAGCACAGUUGGAAAAUUACCAAAAGGCAAUUCAGAUUUACGAGCAAGUUGCAUCAGCCUCCCUGGAUAAUUCACUGUUAAAGUACAGUGCCAAAGAAUACUUCUUUCGGGCUGCUCUUUGCCACUUAUGUAUUGAUUUGUUGAAUGCCCAACAUGCUGUGCAGCAAUAUGAGAAUAUGUAUCCAGCCUUCCAGGAUUCGAGGGAGUGUAAGCUGAUCAAGGCACUUAUUGGUCACAUGGAAGAACACAACGUAGAUGGAUUCACCGAGACAGUCAAAGAUUACGACUCUAUUUCACGGCUUGACCAAUGGUACACGACUAUGCUUUUGAGGAUCAAGAAACAAAUGGCCGAAACUCCUGAUCUUUGCUAAGGAGUGACAGCCAAGGGAAAAGAUGAUCACGAGCCUAUAGGUUAACCGUAGCUAUUUUGCUGGUUCAUGGCACACCUUUAAUUCGCGUCGUCGCAGAGUUGUACUCUUCUAUGCGUUGCAUUCCACAUCUUUCACUUGGCUCUCUGUCGUAUAUCGUUCAUUAUAAUUUUUUUUUCUUUUUGAAUUCAUUCUUGUCCGUUGUUUUCCUCCGUUAUAGUGUACAGUAUAUGUUCAACAUUGGACUUUACCUUGUUUUAUAAAUUUCCUAUUACUAUGCGGUAUAGAUAUUAUGUUGCUUUUAUCCAUUUAUCUCCCUCCUUACGGGAUUCUAUUGUCAUCAGCAUAGCUGUCCCUUAUUUGGCAGUUUCGUUUUAAUUAUUAGUAUGGGGAAAAAAAUCCUUAAAGCCCUUUUCUUCUUUCUUUUCCCCCACAUCCUAAAUAACUUGAUAUGCCUACAACCAAUUUUUUUAUGUGUGUAUCGGUGUUCGUAGUUCAGAAAAAUUUAAUGCGGCGAAGUUCAUGCCAAGUGUAA